rnacentral:piRNA from 1 species
UAUCUGAACACCAAGCGUUCUUUUAGUGC